rnacentral:lncRNA from 1 species
UUCCUGCCCUCAAACAUCAGACUCCAAGUUCUUCAGUUUUGGGACUCGGACUGGCAUCCUUGCUCCUCAGGUUGCAGACGGCAUAUUGUGGGACCUCACCUUGUGACCAUAGUAAACAUAGAAAUGAAGAUAAUGCAUGGCAAGAUCUCCAAAUAACCCAGGAAGCAUCAAAAAAGAAAAAACAAAACAAACUGAAGUUGACCUGGCCUCACAGUGACCAGAUUAUCAUACCUGAGUAUGGUUCAGGCCCCAGGGCUCUGAGGAAACAAGAGUACUAUAUCAUAGACUCAGUAACAAGAGUUAAAUGUGCUUCCUUCUCAUAACUCCAGCAAUUGCCAUGCUCUGAUUAAUAUUUUUGUGACUAUCUCUACUGCUACUCUUUCCUGCUCUGAGUUGGCUUUUCUUACAUGGCCAAAUUUCUGAGAGAGAAGUUGGGUUUGGUAAGUCACUCUUUAGAUAGAGCCACCUGUAGAUUGGAUAUCCUUGGAUAAGAUGCCCAUCCACUUAGUAUCUGCCAAAGAGAAGACUGAAAUUUGGGGAUCAUGCAGUCACAACACGAAAAAAAUUUGCAGAAGGAAUUUUGUAGAUGGAGACUGUGCAUAGAAAUUGGGGCAGAAGACGUAGCAGGUUAUCUGAGACUUAGCCUAUACGGGACACAAAAAUUUUUAAAAAUAGCUGAGAUAUUGAAAAUAAAAGUGAUAAUUUAAAAUAAUUA